rnacentral:misc_RNA from 1 species
GAUGAAGAACGCAGCGAAAUGCGAUAAGUAGUGUGAAUUGCAGAAUUCAGUGAAUCAUCGAAUCUUUGAACGCACAUUGCGCCCUUUGGUAUUCCUUAGGGCAUGCCUGUUCGAGCGUCAUUUCAACCAUCAAGCCCCCGGCUUGUGUUGGGGACCUGCGGCUGCCGCAGGCCCUGAAAACCAGUGGCGGGCUCGCUAGUCACUCCGAGCGUAGUAAUACAUCUCGCUCAGGGCGUGCUGCGGGUUCCGGCCGUUAAAAAGCCUUAUUUACCCAAGGUUGACCUCGGAUCAGGUAGGAAGACCCGCUGAACUUAAGCAUAUCAAUAAGCGGAGGA